AUUGAACGCUGGCGGCAGGCCUAACACAUGAAAGUCGAGGGACCGGCGCACGGGUGAGUAACACGUAUCCAACCUGCCCUUUACUCGGGGAUAGCCUUUCGAAAGACAGAUUAAUACCCGAUGUAAAGGAUGGGGAUGCGUUCCAUUAGGUUGUUGGUGAGGUAACGGCUCACCAAGCAUUCGAUGGAGAGGGGUGCUGAGAGGAAGGUCCCCUAAAUUGGAGUUGAGACAAGGACCAAACGCCGACGGGAGGAAGGAGUGAGGAAGAUUGGUCAAGGGGCGUUAGCCUGAACCAGCAAAGUAGAGGGGAGGUGGAAGGAGUAUGGGUGAAAAACUGCUGUGAUAUAAGAAGGUGUAUUAGAGGAAUAAGGAUCGGCUAACUCCGGGCCAGACGCCGCGGUAAUAC
rnacentral:rRNA from 1 species